AUUCAUCUUUGACAUGUUUUACUUCUCAGUUGUUCCUGGAGGAAGCUCGCAUUCUGUCGAAUAUAUGACAGGGCCUGUUCCUGUCAUCGUUUUCCGCUGGUCUGUCAUUGUGGAAAUCCCACGAGAUUUAGAAGAACCUCUGACGACAGUGUUUUUGCUGGCGUGAAACAAAUCACUUAAAUACGUAGCUCCUUCACAAACUGUCGGAUAGAAACUCUUCUGGGACUCAGAUCGUCUUUCCGUAUCACCAACUUUCUUAAGAGUCCCCGACAACGUCUGCCCGUAAAGCCCUUCACAGACACUCACACCGUGUCCCAGUUCCGUAGAUAGCCUUUUUUUUGGGCUGCCGGUUCCACUAUUGAUUUCCCAAUUCGUGCUACCCUCCUUCGCAAGACAUGUCGCUUCCUGGAGGUCCGCUUGGCAUUCCUGGACGAGCGAGCGAGGACAAGACGGGAACGGCCACUGAGUUCCACAAGGAAAGCCCAGGGCGACUGUCUCCCCAAGCCAGCCACAAAUGGCGUCCUCACUGCGCAAGUCUACUUCUUUCUCUCUAUUUUUUUGUCAUUCUGGUAGUUCUCCCUUCUCGCAUGUCUGACAAUUUCUCUUCAACCAGGGCUUUCAUGGCUGAGGCAGCCAGCAGUGGAUCUCGGGGGCGUGUCGACCUGGAUUCUGUGAAAGUUGAUGGUGAUGAGAAGACGGCAGCAACUGCAUCGACGCUCUCUGGUGCCCACAAUGAGACAGUGGACAAUAUUGUGAAAGGAGGUGGAGUACCGAGGGGCCAGGAUACCGACAUAAUGCCUCGUGCAACGAUCACAUCGCGAAGCACAAAGUUUUCUUCGCGCGUCGCAUUCCGUCGGACUGGGAUAUUAGCGAUGACAUUCGUCGCCAGUCUCUGGUGCGGUUGUCGCUUUGUUGACUCUGAAACGGUCCAAGCAGAAGACAAGGGAUAUGCAGCCACCGUCCGCUGGUGCCUGGACGUAAGUCGCAUGCGUGACACGCACAGAUGUCGUCUCGUUGAGGUGGCGGCCUGCUUGCACACACAGAGAAUCAGGCAAAAAGGCAAAGUGGUACCAGAACACUUUCACUGUCUUUGGACUUUCUUUCGAUGGGUCGCAUCUGCCUAGCCAAAUCUCGUGGGCUUGAAGCAGAGUCGCGGAACGGUCCGUGUGUAUUAACACGUGGAAAAGUGCAGCCAAUAGACGCUGAGCACAUCAUGGUCUCAAUUUAGUCAUGCAAUAAAGGGUUACAAUAGUGAAGCUGCAAUCACCUGACAUUUAUGGCCCCAAUCAGAAUACAAGUAAGGCAAAGCGUGUCCAGAAGCAGUAGGGCAAACUGACCUACCGUCGCGUUCUGUGUUGCUGGGGAUUGGGAAAAAGGGCAUCCUCGGCUGGCUAGAUGUAGAAAGGGAUCCCUUGUCACUUUUGUGGUUUUGGCGCUGAGGUUGAGGUUCUGAGUGUAACAUCCCAGCAGGCAGAUAUCAAGUAAUUCUACAUACCCGAGAACACUAGGCACCGCCUAGAUUGGCGACUGGGUUCGACACCCGAGGCGUAUGGGCACCGCUACUGUGGCUCCACACUUACCAAAUCGUAGACUGGUCAUGCUGAUUCCCUCCGUCAUUAGGCAUCGAAAACCUCCCGGUUUACGUUAGUAAAACCGAGCAACCGGUUAAUUAAUGUUCGGUUUGAUGUUCUACACGUACCUAUAUAAAUUUGUUAUGUUCUUGUCGCCUAUAAACCUCGUAAUACUCGGUACGUGUUUUGUAUGGGUACUUAGCAUCAGACCAAAGAGUUCACUAACUGUACUAGCACCCCCCAAAAGGAUAUCCCGAUAGUCUUUGUGUAAGCGACUUUCGAUCCCCCAAUACAGAGUGGUACACGGACGUUACCAUAUGCUCCAUACAAAGCCUUCUUGAACAACAUAGUGAUCACGAACAGGUCAUCUAUUGUUUUGAUCACGUUGUAGAUACAUUUUGUCUCUGCAAAUGAUCCGCGUGGAAUGAUUAUGAGAUUUUCAUGAAAUGCAUAGCAUUUUAUGACCAUAGGUACUCGGAAGGUAACGUAGGAUCCCACCACCGUAUAUUCUGGCCUUUUGAUCAUCCAGAAAAGAAGAUUUGAACAAAACCUCGUGCAGUACUUUCUAGUGGAAAGUAUUUUUACUUGCUCAUUUGUGUUCAAUGUGUCGUUAGAACAUAGUUGUAAGAUUCUAUACAUGGCGUGAUAUUUGUUUAUUCUUCCACAUAUUACCGUUGUGGGUUGUCUCCAAAAGAACUUGUCCAAUCUGUGUGUGAACACAGGGGACAUUGAAAAUAAGUAUUAGUUGUGUUCAAGAUACACACCCUAUAUAUGAAUAACUUUUCUGCUGCAAUGCUUACCCGUCCGUUCGCUAUUACCAAAGCGUAGGGGCAGGACGUCCGCUUGAGAUGUGUGGGGGGUAGUGCGGCCGCCUGGAAUUUUCGGCAUGAUUCAGUGGCAGCGUUUUAAAAAACUUUUGUUGCCUAGUUGCACCUGUUGAAAAAGCUCGCAAAGUGGUAUUCACCGAAGGGCUAUAAGGGGCAGCGCUGUUGUGCGUGUUCCAGGGAGCUCCUGGCUCAUUUCCCCUUAUGUCUGACAAAAGUCAAUCCUGCGACGCUGCUGCUCUAUCUUCCCGUCAAAGGUUUUGAGCAAAUUUUCUCUGAUGUAUGCAAUUUCAGGCACCCGAAGCAGAGCCAGCAGAGCUGAAGGUGAGUACUCGUUCUACCCGGUUCUACCGUUGCUGUCCGUGCUGGAUCAGGCGUGCCAGGACACGGAGGUGUUAUACCUGUUCAGCGUUGCCACAUGACAAGCGAGGAUAGCCAGUAUGUGAAGAAUCAAUCCGUCACCUGCUGCGCCUCAGAUGAAAUGCCUGGAACCAUAGUUGAGGCUGACGCUGAAGGCAAGUUCCGGUGGUCUCCCAGCGGUCGUUCACGUAGCAGUUUUCGAAGUUGUAGGCGGGCUUUUAUGCCGGCGGGGGUUUCUUGACUCUCCGAAGAAGAUGCAGGAAUGUGUUGCAGUGCUGUGGACUUCUGCUUUUUAAACCAAAAGGUGCGUCUACACACUGUUUUGGUCGCGGGUUGGCACCUUUCCGGUGUAUUCAGCUGUCUCAGUUUUCAUGAUGAUGCGUUGUCACCUUCCCGUAUCGGCUGCACCGACACAAUGCGUCAGAUGUCCUUACAGACGGGAGUGAUUAAAACGUCGUUGGUGAUGGUGGAUGCUGACGUCUGCGUUAACGAGACGAACAAUCCCCCUCAGAUGUUCCUCAUUUCACAAAUUGUUGCGUGACUCAACCAUCACCACGUUUUGCGCUCCUUAAAUUUAUCAUUGCUGUGCCUAUCUCCUGUGAUCCGCAGGUUGUUUUUGGAUUGGCGGUCGUUGGCGCCAUUGCACUACUAGUACGUUUUCCUGCAGGCUGUUGGAGAGUCUUCUCAUUGUUUCUUUACUUCGAAGACAGCAGGGCACCUGUAGGAAACUAAGUCUCCAACUAUUUCGUGGGUCGCUGCGGCGGCGUUGUAUCAAUAGGUAGCUGCAUUGUCUCCUUGCUUUUUUUUUAUCUCCAUGCGUCCAAGAUCGUUCGCUCAUCACUUCACAGAAUAACGUUUUUAUGCAGCUGGGCUAUCACCGUAGGGCUAUCCACUGCGCGGGACUACUGCUUGCAUGCUCCACGGCAUCAUCCCGCGCCCCCGAAGGUUACUGACUUACUCACGCUUCCGAUUCAUCCUACUGGAGUGCUACAGUACUUCAGCACAGUAAGCGUUAAGGAUGCAGAUGUAUAUUUUGAAGUUAUUUUUUGGAAGGGGUCAGCGGCGGAAGAGCUUCUCGGCCAGCAGCCACCCAACAAAGCAAAAAUUCGACUCACGCAGCGAACGCUGGGGCUCGCUGACCCUGAUUCAAACUAAGAGCAUUGCGCGGGGGAUGAAGGCUUCCAGCAGCUGGGGUGGUCCCGGUUGAUCGGUUCCGCCUCAAGCACUGCAGGAAUAUCUUGACCAACGACCGCCUCAUGCGUGCAAAAGGGACCAUGUGGCACUUAUGUUUGUUUAAAUGAGUGUUGAUAAGACGCUGCUCACGUGUCACUCAUAUGAACUGAAGUUAACAGUUCAUAGCAAAACUGGAGCUUCUUCCAGGUGCCAGAAGUACUUUUACGAGCCGUGCGGGGGACGGGAUCAGAAGCAGCAUUCUCGUAGUUUUGCCGUCGCUGCCACUCGCGGCCAAAAGCGGAUCUUGAGAACGCACGAAUUGUUUUGUUCUAGAGAGCCGUUUUUCGCGGUUGACCGGGACCCUCACUUUGUUGACAGGCAGCGAGUGGCAUUCUGGCUUUUCUUCUUCUGAGAGGUGUCGUUUCUGCGAGCACAGGCGUGCUGAUGUGCGCCGGCUCGAGCAUGACGACGCUUUGCGCGUCUGAUGGCAUGAAAAAGACGCGUUGCAACGGGAACAGGAUAACGCGAUUGUAGAGGAUUCCGAUCAGAUGUAUGAGCGUUUCGUCUUACCCGUUCGUAGAUUCGUUGGAGAUAGAAGCGUACAUAUCGUAUGCUGGUACUUGUCUGCCAUAUAGUUACGUGCCUAGUAGGAAAAAGUACCAUUGAGGCUUCUGUUCCAGCAGGGCGGGCGCUACUUACACAACUUCCGCAGGUUGCAGAUUUGUGAUAGAGAGCCACUUCCAUUUCUUACUUGUGGCGUGUCUCUCUUUCGGGCAACACUAACGCCAGUUGGAGGCCACCGAUCAUUCGAGGGGUUCUCUGGUUUGCAAGUAGGAAAUAAGCGCCUCAGCUAUUUUGAUUGUCAGUGGAUGUGGACACUUUUACUAUCUGAUUCGUGGAAGUGGACGAUCGUAUAAUGAGGCGUCAAUGGGAGUGGCUUAGGACUCUACGAGCUUACUGAUCACUGGUGUGGAGACGGAUGGCUGCACGCUGGGUGUUCGCGAGCCACUGCUGACGUCGGCCUUGAAAGGGGACUGGGGAUCAGCGGAAUCACUUUGGACAACAAAGGCAGAGCGAAUGCUGGCCUGGUAGGCGACGGAUGGUUGGCCGAGCCAUGGAGGACAUAAUGAAAUCAAGUGAGGGGACCUUUUUUGGAUGUCUCCAGACGCAGCCAGUAAGUGUCCAUAUCCUGGUUAUGUUGUGCACUGUCUUGUUACUUCACCUGGCCAUGUGGCUAGGUGUGCCAGAUUGUGUGCCACCCCGUCUGGAUAUCGGCCGAUUUAGGGCUCCGGAACAUUGGCGCAGGCAUUAAGAAACGUGUGUCAGAAGGAAGCACGAAGUCUCUCAUUGCCACGUAUCAGUAUGGUCUCCGUUCAGGAUUCACCAUUAUACACUGUGUUUCCAGGCAAGAGUACAUGCUGCGCCAGCAGACUCCGACUGCCAGGGUUGUAAAGGAC
rnacentral:lncRNA from 1 species